rnacentral:rRNA from 1 species
CGGUAAUACGUAUGGGGCAAGCGUUAUCCGGAUUUACUGGGCGUAAAGGGAGCGUAGGCGGCAAGGCAAGUCAGAUGUGAAAGACCGGGGCUCAACUCCGGGGUUGCAUUUGAAACUGUCUAGCUAGAGUGUCGGAGAGGUAAGCGGAAUUCCUGGUGUAGUGGUGAAAUGCGUAGAUAUUAGGAGGAACAUCUGUGGCGAAGGCGGCUUACUGGACGAUAACUGACGCUGANGCUCGAAAGCGUGGGGAGCAAACAGGAUUAGAUACCCUGGUAGUCCACGCGGUAAACGAUGAAUACUAGGUGUGGGGNUAGCAAAGCUAUUCCGUGCCCGCAGCAAACGCAAUAAGUAUUCCGCCUGGGGAGUACGUUCGCAAGANUGAAACUCAANGAAUUGACGGGNACCNCNCAANCGGUGGANCAUGUGGUUUAUUC